GACGAACGCUGGCGGCGUGCUUAACACAUGCAAGUCGAACGGAAAGGCCCUGCUUUUGUGGGGUGCUCGAGUGGCGAACGGGUGAGUAACACGUGAGUAACCUGCCCUUGACUUUGGGAUAACUUCAGGAAACUGGGGCUAAUACCGGAUAGGAGCUCCUGCUGCAUGGUGGGGGUUGGAAAGUUUCGGCGGUUGGGGAUGGACUCGCGGCUUAUCAGCUUGUUGGUGGGGUAGUGGAUUACCAAGGCUUUGACGGGUAGCCGGCCUGAGAGGGUGACCGGCCACAUUGGGACUGAGGUACGGCGCAGACUCCAACGGGAGGCAGCAGUGGGGAAUAUUGCACAGUGGGCGGAAGCCUGAUGCAGCAACGCCGCGUGCGGGAUGACGGCCUUCGGGUUGUAAACCGCUUUCGCCUGUGACGAAGCGUGAGUGACGGUAAUGGGUAAAGAAGCACCGGCUAACUACGUG
rnacentral:rRNA from 1 species